UACCAGCACCCCGAGUGGUCGGGGCGAUUAUUGGGCGUAAAGCGUCCGUAGCCGGUCCUACAAGUCUUCCGUUAAAUCCACCUGCUUAACAGAUGGGCUGCGGAAGAUACUAUAGGGCUAGGAGGCGGGAGAGGCAAGCGGUACUCAGUGGGUAGGGGUAAAAUCCUCUGAUCCAUUGAAGACCACCAGUGGCGAAGGCGGCGUGCCAGAACGCGCUCGACGGUGAGGGAUGAAAGCUGGGGGAGCAAACCGG
rnacentral:rRNA from 1 species